UGCAUAUCCAAAAAGCGGAGGAAAAGAAACCAACAGGGAUUGCCCCAGUAGCGGCGAGUGAAGCGGCAAGAGCUCAGAUUUGAAAUCGUGUUUCGGCACGAGUUGUAGAGUGUAGGCGGGAGUCUCUGUGGAGCGCGGUGUCCAAGUCCCUUGGAACAGGGUGCCUGAGAGGGUGAGAGCCCCGUAGGGUGCUGCGCGAAGCUUUUGAGGCCCUGCUGACGAGUCGAGUUGUUUGGGAAUGCAGCUCCAAGCGGGUGGUAAAUUCCAUCUAAGGCUAAAUAUUGGCGAGAGACCGAUAGCGAACAAGUACUGUGAAGGAAAGAUGAAAAGCACUUUGAAAAGAGAGUGAAACAGCACGUGAAAUUGUUGAAAGGGAAGGGUAUUGGGCUCGACAUGGGGGGUGCGCACCGCUGUCUCUUGUAGGCGGCGCUCUGGGCGCCCUCUGGGCCAGCAUCGGUUCCUGCUGCGGGAGAAGGGGCUCCGGAAAGUGGCUCUUCGGAGUGUUAUAGCCGGGGCCAGAUGCCGCGUGUGGGGACCGAGGACUGCGGCUUCUGUCUCGGAUGCUGGCAUAACGGCGCAAUACCGCCCGUCUUGA
rnacentral:rRNA from 1 species